rnacentral:rRNA from 1 species
AGUGAACGCUGGCGGUAGGCCUAACACAUGCAAGUCGAACGGCAGCACAGUAAGAGCUUGCUCUUACGGGUGGCGAGUGGCGGACGGGUGAGGAAUACAUCGGAAUCUACUUUUUCGUGGGGGAUAACAUAGGGAAACUUACGCUAAUACCGCAUACGACCUACGGGUGAAAGCAGGGGAUCUUCGGACCUUGCGCGAUUGAAUGAGCCGAUGUCGGAUUAGCUAGUUGGCGGGGUAAAGGCCCACCAAGGCGACGAUCCGUAGCUGGUCUGAGAGGAUGAUCAGCCACACUGGAGCUGAGACACGGUCCAGACUCCUACGGGAGGCAGCAGUGGGGAAUAUUGGACAAUGGGCGCAAGCCUGAUCCAGCCAUACCGCGUGGGUGAAGAAGGCCUUCGGGUUGUAAAGCCCUUUUGUUGGGAAAGAAAAGCAGCAGGUUAAUACCCCGCUGUUCUGACGGUACCCAAAGAAUAAGCACCGGCUAACUUCGUG